UACGAAGGGUGCAAGCGUUAAUCGGAAUUACUGGGCGUAAAGCGCGCGUAGGCGGUUUGGUAAGUGUGAUGUGAAAUCCCCGGGCUCAACCUGGGAACUGCAUCACAUACUGCCAGGCUAGAGUACGGUAGAGGGGGGUAGAAUUCCACGUGUAGCGGUGAAAUGCGUAGAGAUGUGGAGGAAUACCAGUGGCGAAGGCGGCCCCCUGGAUCGAUACUGACGCUGAGGUGCGAAAGCGUGGGGAGCAAACAGG
rnacentral:rRNA from 1 species